UCAAGCACCUCAUCUUUCCUUGGUGUAUCCUCAGCCCUCUCACUGAUGUGACCUUGCUCCACCCACACACACAGGUCAGAUAAAGAUGUGGGAAAAAACAGACCCAUGGAACUCCAAAAGGACAUUAAGGAAAUGCUAGAUCGAGAGUGGGGCAGACGUGAGGAGACUGUAAUGGGAAGAGUUCUGGAAAUGUUGGUAAGUGAAAUGAGUUCCCCCACUAAGCCAGAGGCUCACAGUGAGGAGCAACAGUCUCUAACAGAGGAUGUUCUGGAAAAGUUAUCCAAGAACUAUGAAAAGGGAGCAGUUCUCAAAAGUGAACGGAGUAUGGAUUUUCCUCCAUAUUUUCAAGAUGAGGACAGGAACCAGAAACUGAAGGAGUACAUUAAGGAUCUGCUUGAUCGGGACUGGAGCAGACGAGAUGAGACAUUAAUGGCAAGAGUUCUGGAAAAUUUAUGCGACAUAUUUGAUCAAGGAUCCAAAGAGUGAGUGCAGGAAUGGUUACGAGAUCAGUCUAUUGGAUAUGGUUCAGCUUCAUGCAGCGUUCAGUCAGACACCUAAGAUUUUGUUACAACCUUAAAUACUGUAGUUUAAUGUUCAGACUAUUUAUAAAUAAUGUAUAUAUUAUCCAUUCACAAUUGUACAUAAAGUAAACUGUAAAUUAGUCAUGUGACAGUAGUAAAACGUUAAAGUGUGGAUUUGUAAUCUAUGUAGUUGGCAAAGUGGAAAUAUGUCAAAAGGUAUUCAGACACUCCUUAUAAUUAUUAAAGAUGCAAUUGCUGGUUAAGGUUUUACAUAAUGUGCAUAAUAUUUACAAAAAAAAAUGGAUCAUAGAUCUAAGGUACCUGUGCCUGAUAGCAAGCAUCAACUGGGUGCUGGGUCCCUCAACACUGGACUGUCAAACAGUGGAACUGGUUUUCUGAAAUGAUGGUGCUUUAUCUGUUACCUUUGGCGUUUGUGAUCCAGAACGGAACAUUAGUACAUAUAUAUCUCUGAUGCUCAUGUGGCUGAAUGCAGUCAAAUCUACAAAACAAUGAUAUUGAUAUCUGAUGUAAAGCCUUCCCGGAAGAGUAGGGGUGUUACUGAAGGAAAAAACGAGACAACAUUCUUGUGAAAAACCUUGAUUUAAAAAAAAAAACAUUGAAGGAAGUAAUGUCUUUUGGACAAGUUUACAUUAAUUUGUUGCAUUACCUAAUCCUAAUUGUGUUGUAGGUGUGUUUUGUACUGUAUAUUGUGCAAUAUGUUGAUGGAUGGUUUAUAAAUUUUACUGUUACAUUAUUCUCAUAACCAGAUCCAGAAUUGUUAAAACACAUAACUAUAAUAAUAAGUGGUGAGUAUAUUUUAUUGGUUUGAAGAUCAUUGACAAAGUGAGGUAAAAUAAGUUAUUUUAUUUGUUGCUUAUUUUCUGUGAGGACUGUGGGUUUCAUCUACUGAAAUUAAUAAAGAAUCCACUUCCAAAAAUACA
rnacentral:lncRNA from 1 species